rnacentral:rRNA from 1 species
UACGUAGGGGGCUAGCGUUGUCCGGAAUCAUUGGGCGUAAAGAGCGUGUAGGCGGCCCGGUAAGUCCGCUGUAAAAGUCAAAGGCUCAACCUUUGAAUGUCAGUGGAUACUGCCGGGCUAGAGUCCGGAAGAGGUGAGUGGAAUUCCUGGUGUAGCGGUGAAAUGCGCAGAUAUCAGGAGGAACACCGGUGGCGAAGGCGGGUCUCUGGGCAACAACUGACGCUGAGGAGCGAAAGCGUGGGGAGCGAACAGG